rnacentral:rRNA from 1 species
CUAAGGCUCCAGAGGAAGCCACGGCUAACUCUGUGCCAGCAGCCGCGGUAAUACAGAGGUGGCGAGCGUUGUUCGGAAUUAUUGGGCGUAAAGAGCACGUAGGUGGGUUUGUAAGUCAGAUGUGAAAGCCUUCUGUUCAACGGGAGAAUUGCAUCUGAAACUGCAAGUCUUGAGUAUAGGAGGGAAGAAUGGAACUUCUGGUGGAGCGGUGAAAUGCGUAGAUAUCAGAAGGAACGCCGGCGGCGAAAGCGACUCUCUGGUCUGCUACUGACGCUGAGUGCGCGAAAGCUAGGGGAGCAAACGGGAUUAGAUACCCCGGUAGUCCUAGCCCUAAA